CUCAGAUGUAAACAAACCCAAAGGGAGGGACGUUUGAGGGUGAGAAAGGGGGAUAACAUCUGCCGACACCUGUUCAUCCGUUGGGAAUAUUGCCAAAAGAAUCUCCUGUUAGAAAGCCAUCAAGAAUCCAUCACAGAAAAGAAGACAGAUGAAAAAUGAAUGGCCAAGCCUCUAAACUGCUGAUAGGAAAUCUAAUCAUGGUAGAAGUGGAAGACGUUCUCCUCAAAUCGGAAGAUUCCAACUGGUGCAAACAUGGAAAUGGUCAAACAGCUUAGGAAGAAAUUAUCAGAGGCAAGCUUCAGCUCC